rnacentral:lncRNA from 13 species
AAGCGUGCAGAACAACUUUCAUCUUAGAGGAAGAGGCUGACGUUUGUUGUGGAGUCCCACCCAUAUUCCAGGUAUGGAACUAAGACUGGUCCUCCUUAAUCCCAUCUGAACAUCUAUGAGGUGAGGGCUGUUAUCUUCAUUUUAAGCAAAGAAGCUUACAUCACAGGUGGAGCAGUUUAUCCAAGAACCUCAGUGUAAGUGGUGCAACUGGGAUUUUUUCCCCCAAGUUCUUGAGCUGCAAGUUCCUUUUGCUAGGUCAUUUCUUGAAAACUUAACAAAGAAAUCUUCUCUUGCCUAGCAGAGUCAUCCUCAUCCUCCGUGCUGCUUGGGGGAGACACAAUGGUGCGAAGACAAGAGCAACUGCAGAGGCUCAGGACAUCCUUGUGCUGGCAGACUGAGAGGAUCUGCCUUCUCUUUUGGCUUUGUUCUCAGGUGCUACCUGAAUGAAGCAGCUGCAGCAUCCUUUUCCUGCCAGCUUCAAGUUCAACAAGGAACAUCACUUGCUUCUCUUCCCAGCAGCCUUGGAACUGGCUCUGAGUGUGUCUUCUGCCCAUCCCUGAAAAAAAAUACUAUUUUCAUGGCUCUGGCUAUGAACAUCAGCAUAUAGAGGAUGGAUCACUACCAAAGAAGGCACCCAAAUGUGUCCGUCUCAUCCUGAGGAAACCCACUCAUCUGUACAUGUACUCAGCAAGUGUUUGCUGGCACCUGCUCUGAGUCACAGGGUGUGCUGGGUACUGGAUGCUCAGAGAUGUGGAAGGAGGCUGGACUUUCAAGGAUUCACAUCGGCCCCAGCCUUCCCAGAUCCUCCCAGGAUGACUGCAGCAUUGAGUUAA